UGGGGGAUAUUGCACAAUGGGCGAAAGCCUGAUGCAGCGACGCCGCGUGGGGGAUGAAGGCUUUCGGGUUGUAAACCUCUUUCGCUAUCGAACAAGGCCCGCUUAGGGUGGGUUGAGGGUAGGUGGAGAAGAAGCGCCGGCUAACUACGUGCCAGCAGCCGCGGUAAUACGUAGGGCGCGAGCGUUGUCCGGAAUUAUUGGGCGUAAAGGGCUUGUAGGCGGCUUGUUGCGCCUGCUGUGAAAACGCGGGGCUUAACUUCGCGCGUGCAGUGGGUACGGGCAGGCGGGAGUGUGGUAGGGGUGACUGGAAUUCCAGGUGUAGCGGUGGAAUGCGCAGAUAUCUGGAGGAACACCGAUGGCGAAGGCAGGUCACUGGGCCAUUACUGACGCUGAGGAGCGAAAGCAUGGGUAGCGAACAGG
rnacentral:rRNA from 1 species